rnacentral:misc_RNA from 1 species
GAUGAAGAACGUAGCGAAAUGCGAUAAGUAGUGUGAAUUGCAGAAUUCAGUGAAUCAUCGAAUCUUUGAACGCACAUUGCGCCCCAUGGUAUUCCGUGGGGCAUGCCUGUUCGAGCGUCAUUUACCCCCUCAAGCUCCGCUAGGUGUUGGGCGUCUGUCCCGCUUCGCGCGCGGACUCGCCCCAAAGGUAUUGGCAGCGGUCGUGCCAGCUUCUCGCGCAGCACAUUGCGCUUCUCGAGGCACCGGUGGGCCCGCGUCCAUCAAGCUCACCCCCCCAGUUUGACCUCGGAUCAGGUAGGGAUACCCGCUGAACUUAAGCAUAUCAAUAAGCGGAGGA